rnacentral:rRNA from 1 species
ACGGGAGGCAGUAGUGGGGAAUAUUGCACAAUGGGCGAAAGCCUGAUGCAGCGACGCCGCGUGAGCGAAGAAGUAUUUCGGUAUGUAAAGCUCUAUCAGCAGGGAAGAUAAUGACGGUACCUGACUAAGAAGCACCGGCUAAUACGUGCCAGCAGCCGCGGUAAUACGUAUGGUGCAAGCGUUAUCCGGAUUUACUGGGUGUAAAGGGAGCGUAGGCGGUUUUACAAGUCUGAUGUGAAAGCCCGGGGCUCAACUCCGGUAUUGCAUUGGAAACUGUAGAACUAGAGUGUCGGAGGGGUAAGUGGAAUUCCUAGUGUAGCGGUGAAAUGCGUAGAUAUUAGGAGGAACACCAGUGGCGAAGGCGGCUUACUGGACGAUAACUGACGCUGAGGCUCGAAAGCGUGGGGAGCAAAUAGGAUUAGAUACCCUGGUA